UGCCUAAUGCAUGCAACGUCGCACGGGAACCCUUUCGGUGGGUCGAGGNGUGGCGGGCUGGGUGAGGAACACGUGGCUAACCUGCCCACUCUGAGGGGUGAUAACCUCAGGAAACCGAAGGACUAAUACCGCAUACGCUCAAGCGCGGGGACGCACUUGAGGAAACGGAGCAAUCCGCGGAUGGAGGGGGCUGCGGCCGAUUAGCUAGUUGGUGGGGUAAGANCCUACCAAGGCGGUGAUCGGUAGCUGGUNUGAGAGGACGAUCAGCCACACGGGGACUGAUGACACGGCCCCGACUCCUACGGGAGAGCAGCAGCAAGGAAUUUUCCACAAUGGGCGCAAGCCUGAUGGAGCAACGCCGUCGUGGGGGAUGACGCUUUUCGGAGUGUAAACCCCUUCUCGAGAGGACGAAGCCNAUGACGGUACUCUCGGAAGAAGGACCGGCUAACUACGUGCCAGCAGCCGCGGUAAGACGUAGGUCCGAGCGUUGUCCGGAGUUACUGGGCGUAAANCGCGCAGCAGGCGGUUCGAUACUCGGUGUGAAAGCCCCCCGCUCAACGGGGGAGGGUCAUUCGAAACGGUCGGACUGGAGGCAGGGAGAGGUCGGUGGAAUUCCCGGUGUAUUGGUGAAAUGCGUAAGAUCGGGAGGAACACCAGUGGCGAAGGCGGCCGACUGGACCUGUACUGACGCUUAGGCGCAAAGGCGUGGGGAGCGAACGGGUAUUAUCAUACCCCCGGUUCCCACGCAGUAAACGAUGUGCACUAGGUGUGGGGGGUGUAGACCCCCUCCGUGCCGGCGCUAACGCAGUAAGUGCACCGCCUGGGGAGUACGGCCGCAAGGCUAAAACUCAAAGGAAUUGACGGGGGCCCGCACAAGCAGCGGAGCGUGUGGUUUAAUUCGACGCAACGCGCAAAACCUUACCAGGGCUUGACGUCCGCGGAAUCUCUGUGAAAGCGGAGAGUGCCUUCGGGAGCCGCGAGACAGGUGUUGCAUGGCUGUCGUCAGCUCGUGUCGUGAGAUGUUGGGUUAAGUCCCGCAACGAGCGCAACCCUUGUGACUAGUUACGUGGAUGUCUAGUCAGACUGCCAGACUGCUGGAGGAAGGCGGGGAUGACGUCAAGUCAGCAUGACCCUUACGCCCUGGGCUACACACACGCUACAAUGACCGGUACAGAGGGCAGCCAAGCGGUAACGCGGAGCCAAUCCCAGAAAGCCGGUCUCAGUUCAGAUUGUGGGCUGCAACUCGCCCACAUGAAGCUGGAGUUGCUAGUAACCGCCGGUCAGCAUUACGGCGGUGAAUAUGUUCCCGGGCCUUGUACACACCGCCCGUCACGUCAUGGAAGCCGGUAACACCUGAAGUCGGUGGGCCAACUUACGGAGGCAGCCGCCGAGGGUGGGAUUGGUAACUGGGACGAAGUCGUACAAGGUAGCCGUAGCGGAAGCUGCGGCUGGAUCACCUCCUU
rnacentral:rRNA from 1 species